rnacentral:rRNA from 1 species
AAUGAACGUUGGCGGCGUGGAUUAGGCAUGCAAGUCGCGCGAGAAGUGUAGCAAUACAUGGAAAGCGGCGAAAGGGAGAGUAAUACAUAGGUACGUGCCCUUGGGACUGGGAUAGCGGCGGGAAACUGCCGGUAAUACCAGAUGACGUUUCCGAACCAAAGGUGUGAAUCCGCCUGAGGAGCGGCCUAUGUCCUAUUAGCUUGUUGGCGAGGUAACGGCUCACCAAGGCAAAGAUGGGUAUGGGGUGUGAGAGCAUGCCCCCACUCACUGGGACUGCGACACUGCCCAGACACCUACGGGUGGCUGCAGUCGAGAAUCUUCGGCAACGGACGCAAGUCUGACCGAGCGACGCCGCGUGCGGGAUGAAGGCCUUCGGGUUGUAAACCGCUGUCGUAGGGGAGGAAAUUCUGGUGGGUACUCCCAUCAGAUUGACUGAUCCUAGGAGGAAGGACCGGCUAAUCUCGUGCCAGCCGCCGCGGUAACAC